rnacentral:rRNA from 1 species
CCCAGACUCCUACGGGAGGCAGCAGUGGGGAAUAUUGCACAAUGGGGGAAACCCUGAUGCAGCGACGCCGCGUGAGCGAUGAAGUAUCUCGGUAUGUAAAGCUCUCUCAGCAGGGAAGAAGGUGACAGUACCUGACUAAGAAGCCCCGGCUAACUACGUGCCAGCAGCCGCGGUAAUACGGAGGAUGCGAGCGUUAUCCGGAUUUAUUGGGUUUAAAGGGUGCGUAGGCGGAAUGCCAAGUCAGCGGUAAAAUCGCGGGGCUCAACCUCGCUCCGCCGUUGAAACUGGCGUUCUUGAGUGGGCGAGAAGUAUGCGGAAUGCGUGGUGUAGCGGUGAAAUGCAUAGAUAUCACGCAGAACUCCGAUUGCGAAGGCAGCAUACCGGCGCCCAACUGACGCUGAAGCACGAAGGCGUGGGUAUCGAACAGGAUUAGAUACCCCUGUACC